rnacentral:rRNA from 1 species
AUUGAACGCUGGCGGCAUGCCUUACACAUGCAAGUCGAACGGUAACAGGUCUUCGGAUGCUGACGAGUGGCGAACGGGUGAGUAAUACAUCGGAGCGUGCCCGAUCGUGGGGGAUAACGAGGCGAAAGCUUUGCUAAUACCGCAUAAGAUCUAUGGAUGAAAGCAGGGGACCGCAAGGCCUUGCGCGAACGGAGCGGCCGAUGGCAGAUUAGGUAGUUGGUGGGGUAAAGGCUUACCAAGCCUACGAUCUGUAGCUGGUCUGAGAGGACGACCAGCCACACUGGGACUGAGACACGGCCCAGACUCCUACGGGAGGCAGCAGUGGGGAAUUUUGGACAAUGGGCGCAAGCCUGAUCCAGCCAUGCCGCGUGCAGGAUGAAGGCCUUCGGGUUGUAAACUGCUUUUGUACGGAACGAAAAGCCUUCUUCUAAUAAAGGGAGGUCAUGACGGUACCGUAAGAAUAAGCACCGGCUAACUACGUGCCAGCCGCCGCAGUAA